rnacentral:rRNA from 1 species
GAUGAACGCUGGCGGCGUGCCUAAUACAUGCAAGUCGAGCGAACGGACGAGAAGCUUGCUUCUCUGAUGUUAGCGGCGGACGGGUGAGUAACACGUGGAUAACCUACCUAUAAGACUGGGAUAACUUCGGGAAACCGGAGCUAAUACCGGAUGAUAUUUUGAACCGCAUGGUUCAAAAGUGAAAGACGGUCUUGCUGUCACUUAUAGAUGGAUCCGCGCUGCAUUAGCUAGUUGGUAAGGUAACGGCUUACCAAGGCAAGGAUGCAUAGCCGACCUGAGAGGGUGAUCGGCCACACUGGAACUGAGACACGGUCCAGAGUCCUACGGGAGGCAGCAGUAGGGAAUCUUCCGCAAUGGGCGAAAGCCUGACGGAGCAACGCCGCGUGAGUGAUGAAGGUCUUCGGAUCGUAAAACUCUGUUAUUAGGGAAGAACAGAUGUGUAAGUAACUGUGCACAUCUUGACGGUACCUAAUCAGAAAGCCACGGCUAACUACGUG